UACGUAGGGUGCAAGCGUUAAUCGGAAUUACUGGGCGUAAAGCGUGCGCAGGCGGUUCGCUAAGACAGAUGUGAAAUCCCCGGGCUUAACCUGGGAACUGCAUUUGUGACUGGCGGGCUAGAGUAUGGCAGAGGGGGGUAGAAUUCCACGUGUAGCAGUGAAAUGCGUAGAGAUGUGGAGGAACACCGGUGGCGAAGGCGGCAUCCUGGACCGACACUGACGCUGAGGAGCGAAAGCCAGGGGAGCAAACGGG
rnacentral:rRNA from 1 species